AUUGAACGCUGGCGGCAGGCCUAACACAUGCAAGUCGAGCGGAUGAAGGGAGCUUGCUCCUGGAUUCAGCGGCGGACGGGUGAGUAAUGCCUAGGAAUCUGCCUGGUAGUGGGGGAUAACGUCCGGAAACGGGCGCUAAUACCGCAUACGUCCUGAGGGAGAAAGUGGGGGAUCUUCGGACCUCACGCUAUCAGAUGAGCCUAGGUCGGAUUAGCUAGUUGGUGGGGUAACGGCCUACCAAGGCGACGAUCCGUAACUGGUCUGAGAGGAUGAUCAGCCACACUGGAACUGAGACACGGUCCAGACUCCUACGGGAGGCAGCAGUGGGGAAUAUUGGACAAUGGGCGAAAGCCUGAUCCAGCCAUGCCGCGUGCGUGAAGAAGGUCUUCGGAUUGUAAAGCACUUUAAGUUGGGAGGAAGGGCAGUAAGUUAAUACCUUGCUGUUUUGACGUUACCAACAGAAUAAGCACCGGCUAACUUCGUG
rnacentral:rRNA from 1 species